rnacentral:SRP_RNA from 1 species
GCUGGGUGUGGUGGUGCGUGCCUGUAAUCCCAGCUACUCAGGAGGCUGUGGCAGGAGAAUUACUUGAACCCAGGGAGGUGGAGGUUGCAGUGAGCCAAGAUCGCACCACUGCACUCCAGCCUGGGUGACAGAGUAAGACCCUGUCUCAA